rnacentral:rRNA from 1 species
ACUCCUACGGGAGGCAGCAGUGGGGAAUAUUGGACAAUGGGCGAAAGCCUGAUCCAGCAAUGCCGCGUGUGUGAAGAAGGCCUUCGGGUUGUAAAGCACUUUAGACGGGAAAGAAAAAGCUUCUCCUAAUACGAGGAGCCUUGACGGUACCCGUAGAAUAAGCACCGGCUAACUCUGUGCCAGCAGCCGCGGUAAUAC